ACACGUGAAAACGCCCCGGACUGCGGCUGCGCCGCUUACCCGCACACAGACGGUUGGCAGAGGAAGAAAGCCUUGUCACACUAAAGGAGAGACAGCGGAUGUUCUGAACAGUCCUGUCGUGAAACGUUAGACAACGUGGACGAAACAGGCACAUUCCUAAGCAUCACACAUUACUGAAACUCAGUCAAGAAGAAAUAGAAAAUCUGAAUACAUCCAUGGCAAGCACAGAAACUGAACUAGGGGAUUCGAAAUCUUCCCACAAAGAAAAGCCUAGGCCCAACUGGCCUCUAUGAUACAGCAAGAAGGUGCCAUCUAUGAAGGAGAAGACAAGCCCUCACCAGACACCAAAUCUGCUGAUGCUUUGAUCUUGGACUUCCCAGCCUCCAGAACUGCUCACACCCCUUUAUUAACUGAAGCUGACUUAACCCGAACUAUCUGAAGCUGACUCAACCCGAACUAUCCGAGAUCACACGUAAAUGUUUUCCUUCUGAUCUCAACUUUUCUCCUUAUCGUGGGGCAUGGAAAGGAGGAGAUCGCAGCAGGGAAGUUUUUGUUCUUGUUCACAUGCUAACAAUGGUGUCUGUGAACUCAAGAGAAGCCUUUCAUUCUAGACAUAGUAGUUAUUUUCUAAAUCAUCUUUAAACUUAUUUGCUGGAAUAUUGUGGGGGUAAAGUGCAAACUUCCCCUUCACCAUCUGAAGGUUUGCUAAAAAUCAACAGGCAGAAGGCGAAUUAACAGGAGAAAUGGCAUGCCAAUUUGUUUGAUCACAGUUUUACAUGAAGAAUGAAGACCCAAAGACACAUGAGAAAUUGUCCAUUUUUAUGCAACACCAGACCAGGCGAUGCUCUAAGACAGGUACAACAAAGUAUGGACAUGCGUGUAGAAAUACGAGUCAACUAAAGGGUGUGAUCUACUGCUAAUAGGCUGAGUGGGGACACCCAGACUCUUCCUGGCCCCUGUGAGCAGCUUCCUUUCCUUCUGGUGUGGGGCAGGAACUUCUCUGGAAUGGGGAUCUUCUGACCCACAGUCAAACAAGAAUUGGACAGAAGUCACAUCAGGGAGACCAGAGACUAGAGUAUUGCAUCAUAGAGGAAAGACACUGAUGACAAGACCUCAGGGGAGCAGUGGAACUGGAGGCCUGGGAGCUUGGGACGUGUUCUCCGGGUGAAGUUGGCUGGCCAGCUGAUGACCUACACCAGUGCCAUUCACUCCUCAUGUGUCCCCCGGGAAUUCAUAGUGUGUGUCAUCAGGUAAAAGCAACACUACUUUCAGAUGUUUUCUGAUCUCUUUGAGAUCUGGACAACACUACUGUGUACAUAUGGCCAGCAACAAAUUACACUCAAUGAAUAUUUUAGAGAGCAGCAAAGUAAUCAAUUAAAAUGUGGGUAAACAAAAA
rnacentral:lncRNA from 1 species